CACCCCACACACCCUAUAACAUACAGAUACACAGACAGAUGUUUUUGGUAAAUACUUUCUAAAAUAGCUGGAGUGAAAUAAUAUAGUGAACAGAUAGAGGAGUAGCUGGGCCUGACCCAAGGAAAGUUCAGUAGCUAGUGCACUGGAGACAGAGUUUCCCAUUCCUCACUGGGAGGCUGAGAAGGCAAGACAGCUAAGGGCUUGAGAAGGGCAGUCAAAGAGCCGGGAAGACAGGCCAGGGACUCCGCUGCCCAAUAGCCAGGAUUAAUAAUCAGAGUCAAUAAGGAAAUGAAGGCUCAGGCCUCCCACCAGCCAGGACCCUUCCUGCCAGCUCAAGCCGUGGCCUGUCCCGGAUCAGCAUCAGAGCUCUGAAUCGCCAUCCAAACCGUGGCCCUUAUGACCUGUGUGACCUUGGACAAGACACUCUGAGCCACCCUCUCCCCAUGGGCUGCUCCAGCCAGCUUAGGAAGGUCCCGUAACAGACAUCUGCCAAGUGCUGGAGAUAAGGACUGGGGAAGGGGAAGCAGGGAGAGCAGAUCACGGAUGAGCACAUAAGGAGAAGAAAUACUUCAAUAACUAUGAAAGCCACUCAGCUGUGAUGUCCUACCUGUCAGCUCCCAUGAUGAUGUCCCAGAGGCAGAUGGAUGGCACAAAUGUGUCAUUUUUAAACAUGGUUACAGACUGGAAGGAUGGAGGGCAGAACGUGAGAGAGAAUUGCUAAGAGGCUCCUCCAGACCACUCAUGGAUCCAGUCCUGCUGCAGGUCAGCACCACAGCUUUGACCUGCUCUGCUUCCAAACCAGGGCUAUUCUUUCCUCUUAAGACAGCCUCUUACUCUGGCCUUGUCUGAGGGCCCCCCAUCUUCAGUCCUUGGGUAGCUCAGAACCCCUAAGCUUAAGCAGUUCACCAGCCUCAGUCUCCCUUGGGAGCAGGCAUGCACAACCACACCUGGCUCAUUAAGUUUGUUUUUUGGUUUUUUGUUUUUUUAAAGCAAACAGUAUGAAAUGAAAGCUCACAGCCUCAUAUAUAA